AUGGCUGUGGGGUGGAAAUGUUCUGGAGAUGUGAGGAAAUCUCUCAUUUAUAAGAUGAUUUUGCUCGAAAAUGCAAGAAACACCCUGAACGAAGAAUUGUGUCGCUUUACAGAGAAGACAGCUGAUGAGAUUCAAGAAUUUCUCAAUCCCACCAGCACUGCUCACAACCAGGACGGUGCGAAUCUGCUGAAGACUUUAGAUGCCAAAUGUCGUGUGAUAAAGGAACUGAUGGCAGCAUUCGAGAACCUGAAGACAGCUCCAGACUUGCAGAACUUGAAGACUCAUCUGAGCCAAGGAGCCGGGCUGCCCCCCACGUGUCCGUGUGUGCUCCAGGUCAACCGGAAUGGCGCAUUUGUUCCAAAGGUUUUGAAGUUCGGGCCCUUGCUUCAUAAUGUCAUUCUGGCCAGCUCAAUUUCAAAAGCUUUAAAAAUCAUCAGUGCAACAGCCUUUCUUCAGCAGAUGACCUUGUCACUUGAAUUGAAAGAAGAAGAAAAAGAAGGAGGAAAAGAAGAAGAAGAAAAAGAAGAAGAAGAAUUGCCAGGCAAGAUCUCAUCCAGUUCUGGCAUAGAAACUGAGUUAAUAAACCAGGGCCAGGAGCCCAAAAUGUGCAAAAUAAUAAAUUCCAAGUUUAACAAGCAGCAGAAUAUUGUAACAGAAGCUGAAACUCAGAAGACUUCUACAGACACCUUUAUCCCAAAGGGAAUCCAUCCAAGCUUGCCUCAGAAUGUAACCACCCACAUCCUUGAGCAGCAAUUUGGAAAUGACCCUGAGGUUCAACACCAGAAACAAACCUCCUCUCAGCUCAUGCGCUUCCUGCGAGUGAAUGGAAAGACAAAGAACGUGCCUGUGAUCAGUUUAUUUGAUGCUAUGGAGAAGGCCUAUGCCUUCAUGCCGCAGCAGCAGAAAAACAAAAAUGAAGCAGUGGUUCAGAAAGGAGUAGGACUACAUACUACACAUAGGAGACGGUUAUUUUCUGAGAUGACAGUUUCUGGACCCAUCUUCAAAGUGAAAAACAGAAGUGCAGGCUUUGUGACCUACAGUUGUAUGAUUGCUACAUGCUCAGAAUUGUGGGAUAUUGGAGAUAUUUCCACAGAUGUUACAAAAUCAUUGCAUGAUUCCAUAUAUGACCAGGGGUUGGCUUUUCCAGAGGGUGAUGACCCUAAAUUGUUGGAUCCCUUCAGUCAAACCCUGUGGACCUCAAGUGAUGAAUCGAGUGAUGUGGCCUCAGAACAGACGGAGCGCUUGUAUGACUCUGAGGAAAGGAGUACUGAGUCUGUGGAAGAUGAUGACUUCUUACUAAAAAUACCUGAAUUUGAGAUAAAGAAAUUUGAAGAGAUGUGCGUUCUUGCCUCCCACGUGAUCAGCCCAAGCAACUUUUACAUUCAGCGUGAGGAUGCCAACCUUAAGAAACUGUCUGAAACCAUGGCAAAGAUAAACUCUAAGUCAUACGCAGAGAGGAGCUGCAUCCCAGAUAUUGGCUCAUACGUAAUGGGGUGGUUUCCCAAGCAGGAGUUAUGGUGCCGUGGCCAAGUGACCAAGAUAUGUGGGAUGAACCGUGGCAGCAGUCCUUUGUGCACCAGUUCUGAAGGUGUCCGUAACCUUGAAGUGGAGGUCCAGAGAAUUGACUUUGGAGAUUCUGCUUGUCUUUCACUUUCAAAUGUCAAGGAUCUCUGUGGAGAAGCUGCUGAAGUGCCAGUCCAAGCUUUACAAGUCUCCCUGGCAAAUGUGAACCCACUGGAUGGUGAAAACUGGUCUGCUGAGGCAGUAAGUUGGUUCAAAGAUAAAGUGAACAACAGGAUGCUGUAUACAAGACUCUUUCCUGAGGGAAACACAGUUAUGGUGGAGAUUUUCUUGGAGAAAGGAAAAAUUGGGACAAUGAGGAGAGGUGCUUCCUUAUCCCUCAGACUGGCUCAAAAUGGACACGCUAGGCAUUCUCAAAUGAAGACUGCGGGAACGAAAAGGAGCCAUGCCCAAAAGCAGUCAAGAAAGCAAUCAGUGGAAUGGGAGAAGUAUCUUAUCUCCUGUUACUCUCAAAGCAGAAAAUGACACAGACUGUUGUAACAUGAACACAGUCUGACCUGAAUGUUCAGAAUUCAUGAUUAACAUAUUUCCUGUUAGUCAAAUCAAGACAACACACAUUGUGAGCUGCAAGUUUCCAAUCUAUUCUGUUUUUUGUUGAAAUGUUAUAAUGCUUAUUAUCUUGUUUGCAGUUGCAUCACCUGUCCCUUUAUUCAUUUAUUUUUGGUUUAUUUUAUAGUUUAUUUUGUAUCACUGACCAUUUGAUCUUGCUUAAAUUGUAUAAAUGUAUAUUUCUGUUCCAUGUACACAAACAAAACUACACAAAAUCGCCCGUAUCCAAAUAUGUAAUUUUGGUGUGUGAUUCAUCAGGUUGUAAUAAACCUACUUUGACCUCGUGUUUAUUCA
ensembl:lncRNA